rnacentral:lncRNA from 1 species
GCACCACCACGAAUCUUUAGCCUGCAGACUCCUUUCAGUGGGCACAAAACCGCUAGGCUGCCACAGAGAGGCCCUGCUUUCCAUCAGAAUAUUACCCCUUCGUUUCCCCCUUCUUUAAACGCUAAACGGAGAGAACAGGCUUGGGCUGGGAUAAUGGGAUCUUUUCUCUCUCUCUGCCGCCGGGGGUGAAAACGGCAACAAUGGAGGCAAAAUGAUUUAAAGGGAGCUUUUUCACCUGCUCUCCUUCUUCUCCCAAGCUAUCUGUGUCUUUCAGAGGAUGCUAAUGCCAGCUAAUUUACCAAAAGGCCCAGGCAUGGAUCAAAGCUGGCGAGACGUUCAAUGAGCCAUCAUCGCAGACGAAUCAACCGUGGCCCUUGAGCAAUUAGCUCAAAAUUGCUACAGAAAAAAGUAAGAUCAAGCAAGCCAAGUCUCAAGCAUCCCUUCAAACUCCAUGUGUGGGGGGCAAUUUCUCGCCAGGGACCAGGCCCAUUUUUUAUGUUUGAUGGUAUCACGGCUCAAGAUUUCUUUGAGGAAGAAAUCUUCAAUAGGUAUACUUAACCCUAUGUCAGAGAGGUGUUUCUGGGACCACAUCGUUUCUUUCAAGACAAUGACCCAAACCAAAUUGAGGGACAACACUGGGCCAAUUGUGUGCCACCAUAUGGGUCUCUCAAUCACAGUUGGAUGAGAUACAGUCUGGAUUCAAACCAGGGACUCUAGUGAUGCCUCUUGCACUGAGAUGCAAUGUCUUAGACCACUGCGCCACUCGGGAGCCAUGACCAAUAGGACCAAUAUAUAUUCUCCAGCUAAUAGCCCAUCCUAGAAACAUGCUCGUGCUAUGCUUGUGAAAAACAUGGUUAAUAAUAAUAAUACUUUUUCCCCCUUCCACUUGUUAAAGUUUCCAAUUGAUAAAGUUUUUUUUAAUCAAUUAGUAUAUUUGAGUUUAACCACAAUAUUUGUUGUAUUAUUUGUUCUGUCUUUUCUGGUGGAUUAAACCAACUUUCUAUGGCUUGUUUUAAAAAAUAACAAUAUUUCGGAGAAUAUUUUAUUUUCAAAAAACCUAAAGUGAGCGAGAAAAAUGCCAUUCUUGAACAUGGGGUGAGACAUUGUUACUAAUUUGUAAAAAAAAGCCAGUUUGUUAUUUAGAAUGAUUUUUUUUCUGUUUAUAUUUUAUUUAUUUAUUCAUUUUUUACCCCUUUUUCUCCCCAAUUUCGUGGUAUCCAAUUGGUAGUUACAGUCCUGUCCCAUCGCUGCAACUCUCGUACGGACAUGGGAGAGGCGAAGGUCGAGAGCCGUGCGUCCUCUGAAACACAACCCAGCCAAGCCACUCUGCUUCUUGGCAACUGUAUCAGCGUGCAUUGCACCCAGCCCGCCACAGGAGUCACUAGUGCGUGAUGGGACAGGAACAUCCCUGCUGGCAAAAACGUUCCAUAACCCGGACGACGCUUGGCCAAUUGUGCGUAGUCCCAUGGGUCUCCCGGGUGCGACAGAGCCUGGACUCAAACCAGGAUCUCUAGUGACACAUCUAGCACUGUGAUGCAGUGUUUAUUUCUGUUUUUAAAGGGAGAGAAACCAAAAGCCUACUGUUGUCUCAUGGGUCUCAGCUGGCACGGGUAUCAAACCAGCAUCUGUAGCAACUCAGUUUGCACUGCGUUUGCACUGAGAUGCAGUGCCUUAGACCGCUGCGCCACAUGGGCGCUGUACAAUGUGACAGGUUGGGAGUAGGCUACAGUACUACAGUAAGAGAAAAAAUCAUCCUAACAUUUCCACUCCCUAAUUGUAGUCUAAGUUUCUCUUAGAAUAAAAACCUUAGUGUAACAACAGUUUUAGUAAGUAAUACUGAUGAGUAGUAUCAAAAAAAGAAGUGUAUUUUUUUCAGGUGCGCGUGCAGGACAUAGGAAUAGCAAUUCUUACACUAUUGUUCUAAAUUCAGUCACCUUCUUCAUCCUCAUCAUUCAGUUCAUUAAAAUUCAAUAAAAAUGUCAUAAUGAAAUCAUAUCACUGUGGAGUAAGCAACUUUUACCAAAC